rnacentral:tRNA from 4 species
GGUCCAUUCGUCUAGUGGUUAGGACGUCAGGUUUUCAUCCUGGUAACAGGGGUUCGAUUCCCCUAUGGACUA